rnacentral:lncRNA from 1 species
UUUGUUUUUGUUUUCAAAUAAUCUAAUUUAACUUUUAAAGCCUACUGUUCAUUUUCAUGGGAAGUUCAUUCCAUAUAAAAGACCACGGUGAAUAGCAGAUAAUUUCACAGGUUAAACUACAUAGAUCUGAUGCUAUGAUUUGCAUAAAAUAUUUGCAUCUUGAAAGGUUUACUGGAAAUGAAACCUGGCAGUAUCUAGAAAAGUUGUGUUCAGUGCAAAAAAAAAAAAAAAGGGGGGGGAGCUGAGUUUAAUAUUUCAUCAAGAGAAGCACCCUGUGAAGACUUGCAACAUGUUUAUUUUUGAAAAGCAAUUGCUUUUGGUGCUAGUAUAUCUUUUUUCUUUUCAGGACAAAGCUGCAGCUUGAACCACCUCGUGUGUUGUAUCUUUUAGUAGCAUUCCUCCAAAUAGAUAAUUAUUUGCUUUGCUUAGUUUGGAACAGGAGCCGUAGUUCCUCUACCAGUCUUUUCCGUUGUAGAAAUGUGUAGUGGUGUUAGCCUAUGCCGUUUCUAUACCCCUGACCUUUUCAGGUAUGAUUAGUUCCUUUUUCUUUUCAGAGUUUUCAGUAUUUGUUUCAUAUGAAGUUUUGUAAGCAUCUGUUACUCAAGUGUAGUAUAACCACAUUGUGCAGAAGUCCUGCUACAGAAGCAGUAAGUCUUUUAAGCAUGAAAUUUUAACUCAUGGAACAAAUAUACAAUGUCUUUUUGAUCUAUAUUUUUAUUUAUUGCUGAUUUUGAUGUCACGUUCUGGUACUGUAUCAAGGCAGAAUGACACUCUUCAUCUAGCUGCUUAGAUACUCUUCUUGUCUACCGUUUAAGUAUUAUGAACGAGUUGCAGAAUAAUCAAAUCAGUAUACCUGCACACGUGUAAAGUAUUCCGUUUAAAAAGGGGUUAGUCAUGUACAGUGUGGCAAGAUAACUUUGGAUCCAUUAAGAGUUAGUUGUAGAAGCAUGCAUGUGGGCAUUUGUUACCCAGUCAUGCCAAUGGAAAAGAUAAUGCAACGCCAAUGGAAACAAUGGUCCUUGUGGGAAGGUUGUGUAAGGCUGGGGGCUGUGUCAGGACCCUGGACCCAACCAGCAUUUAGAGUUGCACUGAUUGUUGCACAGCUGGAAUUUUACGCCCGGGCUCAGCCAUGCAAGGUUCUUCACUUGGCUGUGCCUCGCUUUCCCUGGCACUAGAGCAAGGAGAGUAACACAUCCUUCCCUUGCAAAGACCGUAUUGUGUAGUAACAAGGGGAAUAUUUGCAACUUUAAAUACCCGCUGGCUGCCUAAAUCAGGCAAAACACUUUGCUCACUACUGUCAGUAAAAGCUGAGGAUCCACUCUCGAAUGUGAUCAAGAUACUAAAAGACACACAGUAGUUGACUUUCAAGUUUCCUGUUCUCUGCUACUUAACCACCUUAAAUUUCAUAUGCAAAUCUCUGUAUUUUACCUAAAGUGAGACCUAAAUUUUCACACUGAAGAGUGAUACAGAUCACUUAUAUCUACAGCAACAGUGGUCAAAAGAUAGUCUGAUUUUCUGUCAUAGCAAAAUAAUAUUCCAUUUCAGUGACCAGAAUCAUGACUAACACCUGACUUGUUCUUUUUUUCCCUUUCUGCAACUUACUUUUAUGAAUCUGAAUGUUGCUGUAAUGUAUAAAUGAAGGUUUUCUUGCAUCCUCUGUAAUUGAAGUAUUUUACAUGGUGGUUGGAGUCAUUAAAUGAUGUUGGAAACAAGUGCCUGCCACCAUCAUUUCUAAUGGAAUUUGAGAAGGAUACUCCACGAAACCAGUGGAGUUUGUAUUUUAAAAAAAAAAAAGAAAGAAAGAAAAAAGAAAAAAAAAAGAGUUGGAGUGUUGUUUUACUUUUGUUCUAUUUUUAAGAUGCAUCCAAUUAUCAGUGCUGCUUGGAAAUGGAAUUUUCUUUGGAAAACAGGGGGCCUUAACUUAACCUGGGACCGUUUGUGUUUUACUUGUUUCUAUUUAAAAAGGAAAUCAUAUGAAUUUCCCAGAUACCAUUGGUACUUGCACACUUCUCAGAAGUAUUAUGAAGAGCUGGGCUGGUGGAAGGAUGUUUUACAUAUUGUUAACAUAUAUGUGGAUAUUCUUAUAUUAUUGUACAUGUUUGGGAAAAUAUCACACAACUUUAAAAAUGUUACAAAGAUGUAUGUAUCUGACUUUUUCCUUUGGAAAAUAUUAUAUAUUUUUAUUUGUAUUUUUUACUUUUUUAAGUUCAUCUAUAUGUGCAGUUAUUUUUGUAUUGCAAGUGGUCUCAUAAAUGCAGUAGAGGAGAUAAAAUACAAUGAAAAGUAAUUUGGCAAGGAUUACACUGCUUUGGGUGGGG